GAUGAACGCUGGCGGCGUGCCUAAUACAUGCAAGUCGAGCGAACGGACGAGAAGCUUGCUUUUCUGAUGUUAGCGGCGGACGGGUGAGUAACACGUGGAUAACCUACCUAUAAGACUGGGAUAACUUCGGGAAACCGGAGCUAAUACCGGAUAAUAUUUUGAACCGCAUGGUUCAAAAGUGAAAGACGGUCUUGCUGUCACUUAUAGAUGGAUCCGCGCUGCAUUAGCUAGUUGGUAAGGUAACGGCUUACCAAGGCAACGAUGCAUAGCCGACCUGAGAGGGUGAUCGGCUACACUGGAACUGAGACACGGGCCAGACUCCUACGGGAGGCAGCAGUAGGGAAUCUUCCGCAAUGGGCGAAAGCCUGACGGAGCAACGCCGCGUGAGUGAUGAAGGUCUUCGGAUCGUAAAACUCUGUUAUUAGGGAAGAACAUAUGUGUAAGUAACUGUGCACAUCUUGACGGUACCUAAUCAGAAAGCCACGGCUAACUACGUG
rnacentral:rRNA from 1 species